rnacentral:rRNA from 1 species
AUUGAACGCUGGCGGCAGGCUUAACACAUGCAAGUCGAGCGGAGAGAGGUAGCUUGCUACUGAUCUUAGCGGCGGACGGGUGAGUAAUGCUUAGGAAUCUGCCUAUUAGUGGGGGACAACAUUUCGAAAGGAAUGCUACUACCGCAUACGUACUACGGGAGAAAGCAGGGGAUCUUCGGACCUUGCGCUAAUAGAUGAGCCUAAGUCGGAUUAGCUAGUGGGUGGGGUAAGGGCCUACCAAGGCGACGAUCUGUAGCGGGUCUGAGAGGGUGAGCCGCCACACUGGGACUGAGACACGGCCCAGACUCCUACGGGAGGCAGAAGUGGGGAAGAUUGGACAAUGGGCGCAAGCCUGAUCCAGCCAUGCCGCGUGUGUGAAGAAGGCCUUAUGGUUGUAAAGCACUUUAAGCGAGGAGGAGGCUACUUUAGAUAAUACCUAGAGAUAGUGGACGUUACUCGCAGAAUAAGCACCGGCUAACUCUGUGCCAGCAGCCGCCGUAAUAC